CUCGCUCUAGCAGAAGCCGUACAUGGGUCAGCCCCUGAUAUAGCUGGAAAGAAUCUUGCAAACCCCACUGCUCUCCUGCUGAGUUCCGUUAUGAUGUUGCGCCACUUGAGGCUUACUGACAAAGCUGACCAAAUCCACAAUGCUAUACUUAAUACCAUUUCAGAAGGAAAGUAUCGAACGGUUGAUCUUGGUGGGAAUUCGUCAACUACAGAUUUUACAAAGGCAGUAUGCGAUCAUCUUUAGAAAGUUUGUGGCAGCACACCCGGAUAACUGGUAUACAUAGUAAUUGCUAGUUUGAGUCGGUUGUAGAUUGCCCACACUAGUAUAUUAAGUUGCAAUCACAUGAAUAA